UUUCUCCUAAUACAAUGUCUCUGCUUUUGUACUUGAAUGCAAGGAGAGAGGGAAGUCACUUAACUUGUUAAUAUCACAAAGCUAAAGCUGUUGCAGUAACUAACUGCAUCCACCGUAUUUAUACUUCUCUGUUGACAGCACAGGGCGGAGCGGAGUGAUGAGGCUUUGGAGUAAAAACACAAAUUUUAGCAAGGGUGUAAUGUUCCCUGAACUUCUGAAGCUCACUGCCAGCUGCGUGGACAGAGGAUUUCCCGUUGCUGUGGGAUGAUUUUCAUGGGGCAUGCUGCCCAAAAACCUAAGGAACUCCCUAGAUAUUAAUUAACUAAUUAAGACCUAGAACCCUCUUACGAGGCAGAUCAAGGGAUACCAACAGACUCUUCGUGUCUCAGGCCCUUUUCAGGACAUCAGAGGCACUCUAAAAAUGUAGUGCAAUACUUCGGUGCAGAAAAUAAGCAAAAUGUCAGAUCUAUGUUAUGGGGAAUGAUCAUAGCUCUCUGCAGUCUGAGUAUGGAUCUUAGCAGGCACAACUCUUACAGUGAUGGUGAGAGGGUGGCAGGCAGAGAAAAGCUGAGCAGUGGCAUGUGCAUUAACCAGGGAGUUCAUGUUACACUUGUGUAGAAUUUAGCUGAGCUGUACUAUAAACUUUGUAGAAUUCCUCUAUGGAAAUGUCUCAGAAGAAUAAGAAUCCAGACUAUCAUUGGAACCAUGGUUCUAUUUUUGUACCUCCAUUUUGAUAGUCUGUAGAAAAAAUUGUAAGGAAGUAUGUGUGAGAAGAAUGAGCAUCACAGCUUCUGUUAUCCUUCUGUUUUAGUUCUCUAAUGCUUUUCAAUACUUGGGAAUGCAAAUAAAAGAUAGACCCUGGUUAACCAAAAAUGCAGUAUUUGGUUUGUGACUUACUUAAAAUAUGAAGUGGUUUCCUUCUAAAUGUCAGCAUUUCAGUGCACUGAGGGAACAACAUGAGAUAAUUUAACGCAUAAGUUUUGGUCACUUUAGAAAAGAAGUGGGGAAGAUUUGGAGAAGAAAUAUCACUAGUUUUGGGGCAGGGAUAAGAGCUGCUUGGAUCUGGUUGUUCUUUUGUUUGUUGGUUAUUUUUUAAGAAAUUGUAAGAAAAUAUGCUUGUCUUCCCUGUUCUUGGACACAGGGAUGGUACAGUUAAAGUAACUGGGAAUAGAAAAGACCCCAAUCUGCUUGCAGUGUCCAGCUGAAAUGUACAGAAAGUAAUGAAAUAAAAAGAACGAUGAAAGAAGAAAUUAGAUUCAAAAAUCUGCCGGUCUUUCAUAAGCUAAAAUGUUCUUCAUAACACUGGUAAGGAAAUUACUUGUGCUGACUUCAAUGGAUCCAAGAUUUUCUCCAUGAUUUCUAACAUGAAAUUGCUGCUUUCAGAAGUUAAAAAAAAAAAAAAAGCCUUAUAUAGAAGCAAUUUUUCUUGUGCAUUAUGAAUAAUAUCCACUGCUUUUAUUUUACACCUCAGCUUAGCUUGUAAAUAACAGCUAUUUCCACUAAAAGGCUAUUAUGAAGUUAUCUUUGAUGCAGAGUCUACAGUCACAGUUCCCAAGCGUGAAAGAGCACUUGAGUGUAUAAACACCUACUUAAAUAUCCUGCUUUCCCCCAGAGCAGCCCAGAGCAGAGUGGGGGCAUGCCCUGGACGGCUUCGCUGCAACAUGCGACAUUUCAUGCUCUGCUUGCAGGUCCCUGACAAAGGCCCCUCACAGGAGAUAGACUUUCAUGUGGUUAUCACAGGGUGUUGCCAGACGUUUUCAUUUAACUUUUUAGCAGGAGAUUGCUCCUUCUGCUCAAGGAGAGCAAUGCUGAGUGGCCCAUAAAGGCUAUCAGUUCUUCUGGCCUCCAGUUCUCUCAGCCUCACAUUCAUGGUCUCCCACUGUCUUGGCAUUCCCCUCUUGUUAACAUGUGGGCUGGACGUGCACUCCUGGAGUCAUAUGGGACCAUAGUAAUCACUGGUAGUACCCUCUGGGCCUUGAAAGCUGACCCUCUUUGGGACCCUGAAAGGCAGCAAUGUCUCUGUGAUGUUUUAGGUUCUGGAAAACACACCUGAGCAGAUGUUGAUCACAGUUUUUAACAGCAGUAAAAUAGGUUGUUUGCAAGAACUCCUAAAGGAAACUGGUGAGAGCAUUUGCACUUGAGGUUUGAUCAGGCUUGAAGUAUUCAGAGAAACCUCAGCAGUAUUACUCUCUUCUCCUUGUCUGUCAACCAGGCAUCUGCACAGGCUGAUUUGGGCAGAAAGAAUAAAUCAACUCACAUUGAUAUAUUACCUCUGGUAGUAUUUAAGCACAAGCUUAAAAAGCCUUGAAAAGUGUCAUUUUUGUAAAUUCAGCAUCUGAGCCAUUCACACUGCUCUAAGCUUUGAGAGUUAACACCAGAAACAUCUUUGAGAUGGACAUUGUGACAAUCAAUUCUAAAACACGAAUAAUUCAAUAAUCUAUAAUAGAGUCCCACAAUUAAAUUCCACUGUGCAGUUUUAUUGAUCUCUGUGCUUAUGAUGUGUGUUACACCCAUUUCUAACAAUGUAUCUGACCUUUUCACUCACUGGUGCUCAUCAGAUUUAGCUCUAGUUUGGUAAUGGAACGCAAGGCCUGCCCACAAAGCAGGCUGGAUCUGCCAUUUUGGAUAUUCUUAUGAUUCAGUGCAUGAAACAAAUAUGAACUAGGAACUAACAUUUAGCCACAUUAGGAUGAUGAUUUCUCACUGUUCAGAGGAAUUAACACAAGCAAUUAUUUUGUCUUUGCAGGUGUCAGAGUCUCAGUCCAACUCUCGUUUUUUGGUGCUUGUUUUCUCCAAUAUUGAGACUGCCACAGAAAGCAGAACCUCCUGUUCCCCGCCUCACCUUUAUCAGCGCCUUUGAAACAAUGUUAGGACUCAUCUACUUGAAGAAACAAAAUUGCGACCACUGGAUUUCUGCUCUGGGAUCUUCUAUAACAUUGGAGCUCCUAUUCCACCCUGGAGACCAGUCCGAGCUUUGUAGAUGAAGCUUGUAGUGCUGAGGAUAAGGAGUACAGAACUGGAAGCUCAGAACUCAGCCCUGCUCACAGCUGAGAAAACAGUAAGAAACAACCAAACUUUGUAUCAUCCUGAGAAUUGGCUGCAGAUGAAAGAUGUGUGUGUAAGAGCAUGCAGCGUCCACCUGAUGGUAUCUACACGGAAGAGGUGAAGAGGAGUGAAGAGUCAGCUACUGCUCCACAGCAACUGAAAAAAGGUUUACUUCUGAUCCCCAAAAAUGAAUUUAAGAGGGUCUUUUGAAGACCAAGUGUCGUUCUUGGGUGGAGAGUGAACCUGUUUGUGAGCUGUGACUGCACAAUAACACCAUGCUGGUCACCCAGCGUGAGGGAAGGAGCCCACAAGAAGGCUGGGCUGCCUGAGCUUCAAGUUCUGGAUUUGUCCCUUGCUUUGCAAAGCACUGAAGCACUUGCUGACUUGGGGUUAAGGAAGGUGGAUGUACUGAGAGAAUCUUCUUGACUCAUCAUAUUUUCCAGCCUGGCUUGUUUGUUUUCAUUGUGAGCAUGAGUCCUGUUUACUCUGAUCAAAGAUGGCAAAAUCAACCACACUAUGAAGACAGGGACUUGCAAAAUUCCUAGUGAAGGCACAACUGUGCCCAGACCUGCAGCUCCUGCUCUUCCCCUGAUCUUCCUUUCUGCCACUGCACAGAGCUCCUGCCUCACCGGUAGCCCUGCUCUGCCCUGGCUGCCAGGAAGACUCCAUCCUCCUGUUGCUUUUCUCUAGAGUGGCAAAAUGGAAACCAAAUUUCCCUGCAUUCACUGCGCUAGGAUCUGCCCAGCUUGUGAGGGCUGGGGACAAACAGGAAAGCCACCAGGAUGGUCAGGAGAUUGCCCCAGCGCACAGCGGGUGGGUUUCUGCACAGCCCUGGAGCACAACCACUUCUGGUCUGACAGGAACAGCAUCACCAAGAUUAAGAUCUUCCAUUUACUCCAGCCUCCAGAAAGCUUCUGAGCAAGCACUCCUCACAAAAGCCAUUGCAGACACCCAGAGCAUGCCCUAACAGCAGAAAUAAAGCUGUGUAGUUAUGCAAAAUCCAUCUGUAGUUUAUGGGCAUGAUGCAAUGGUCCAACCCCAAACAACUCUUGCGCAGGCUAUGGGGAGGCUGCAGUACUGAGCACCCAACCUCAAGCAGUGUAAGGGGCCUCAAGCAGCCCUGCCACCUCCCAGGGACAAGACAAAAGGCAAUGCCCUUUUCCCCUGGAAUUUCUUUGCUCCCUAGGUCCAAUUUCACUUGUUUAAACACAAAAGACCCACUAAAUUGCUCGUGUCCACCUGAAGCCUGUGGCAGGUUCCACCUGAUGGCGAGGGCAAAUUCGUACAUGGAAGGCACUGAACGAAACGCUGCUCGCACAAAGAGGGAUUUGCCAGGGGAUGCCCGUCGGUGCCCUCGCCCCAGCGUUCCCAGCACCGCGGAGGAGCUUCCCGCAAACACGCCCUCGCUACCAGCGCGCCUCGCAUUUCCUCCUCCCUCAGCAUCCCAGCCUGGAAGAGGUUAUCAGACAAUAGCUCCGUGUAUCAAAGCAAAACAAAGCAGCCCAGGCGUAGCACGCCGGCAGCUGUGCAGGCAGGGAGAGAGGAGCGAGCCCGCAGCCGGAGGAAGCAGCUCUGAGGCACGGCGCGGUGCGGCACGGGGUGGAACACCCGAGCAACGGGGCCGAGCCCGGCUGCGGGCAUCGCCGUUUGGGAUUUUUCCUUCCUUUGUUCUGGACGAAGCAAGGUUUUCAGCGAGGCUCCGGGUUUCGAGGGGUAAGAUCCAGCCCGGCUCUUGCCGCGAACGCCGAGGAGGCCCCAUAUGUCAUGGGCAAAGUAUGCGGCCCUAGAAGCCCUAAAAGCCGGCGUGGAGCGGGAGUGGGUGGGAGCGGGACCCUGAGGGAGCCCGGGGGCUCGGGGCUGGCCGGGACCCCCGGCCCGCGGAGAUGUGGGCACCACGCGUGGGCCCUCCGCGAGAAAUUCCUGUGGAUGUGACAUUUGCGAGGGCCCCGCCGUUCCCAGCCCACGCACGCUCGCCGCGCACCUCCGCUCCCGACCUGAAGGAAGAAAUUGAUUUCUUCCGAUGGAAACAUCCCUAAAAUGACAAAAGGUUUUCUCGUUUCGCCGCCCCCGCACCAGCAAACCCUGCGGACUGCGCGGCGUGCGGCCGAGCGCCGGCUGCGCACACAGCCGCACACUCACAGCUCUGAGUCACAGCUCUGCAGCUCCCGCAUAUGGUCCGCACGCUCUGCAGCAGCUCCUGCUCCUGACUCACUCGCUCGGCACAGAGCAAAGAAAUCGUUUCAGCCCGAGCGAGCGAACGACACGAAUUUUGCCAUUGCCGCCUCCCCGGGACGAGGGAAAGCUGCGCAGCCUGACCCAAUCCUGCGGCGUGGGUCCACUGCCAUCCCACGAGAGUCCUCUUCUGCUUUUCAGCAUCCUGAAAUUGCCCUUCGGUCUGAUCUUUGCCGUGGUCAAAAAAAUUAGUGUCUAGGAUGACUAAAAGUGAAAGAGAUAAGAGGAAUACUUCUCUCUUCCCAGAUUGUUUCCUCGGUUUAUUCGAUAUCGCUUUGUGGAUGGGGUGUUUGAUUUCAGUGUUUCCACUCUGCGGUCACUUGGGUAGUUUCCUUUUGUUCCUCACAUGGUUUUCUUUUCAUAAUGAUGCAAAGCGAGAAAGAGAUAAACCUUUUAAAAUGUGAUGGCUGAAGCCGCAAGUAUUGGCAGCUGGUCUCACUCAUGUCAAGUGGUGGAAAGCAAAGCUGGCCAGCUACUCAGUAAUGAGAGGAGAAUUUAGUUUGGAACUGGUUAAAUUGCCAAUGGGCAUUCUGUUAGACAAGCUCUCAGUCAGGUCGGUGGUGUCAAGUUUGCCUGACAUUUAGUUUGCAUUUUUAUUUUUUCAGUUUUAAAAUGAUUAAAGUUCUCCGUAUAGAGGAAAAACCCUCCACGCUGUCCAAAGUGCAUCAUCUAGAUUUGUUCACCAGCAGCCCCACACAAACACUGCUCUCGGUUCAGAGCUGGGCUCCCGGCUCUUUUCUCUCUGUACAUUCUGAAUUCAAAGGCUGGAAAUGCUUCUUCUCCAUAACUGAGCAAACAGACUUAAAAAAUAAAUAAUGAAAGAACCUGUGGAUGUAUUCAAAUAGCUCUCUUUAACCCCUGCACUUUUUAUUUAAAAUGUAAUAUGAAAUUCAAAGCCAUUUAAUUAAUUAGAAAUUGUAACACUUAAGCAUGUACAGCAGAAUUAUCAAAAGGGAUGCUACAGCCAUUAAAUAAUCAAAUAGCAAUGCCAUUAAGUAAGUAAUUAGUAUGUGCAAUAAAUGGCUAGACUGUGUUAAUGAGAUCUCUCAUAUACCCUAAGCAGGGUCCAAUCCUUCACCGCCCCACAGGAAAAAUCACCCAGUGCUCUUGGUUCUCUGCUGAGAAAUGAGCAAGCUUCCUUCCCUUCCUGAGGACAUGCCUUGCAUGCACAGCACCCCCCACUCAGCCUCAGUACCAGCAUUGUGCUCUCAGCAGUCCCUCACCUAGGAAAUGCUUCCAGGAAAUCCUGGGAAUGCUGGCUAAGGAGGAGAUCUGGAUCCCUUUCCUGUAGCACUCGUGGGUGAAGCACUACCCCACACAGCUGGGGGCAGUGGUUUCUGCCUUCAAACUACUGACUAGUAGUGAAGCAUGCAGCACUGGCAGCUCACAGCCCCCUCAUUGAUGGCUCUUCAACAGCUCUGAAUAGAACCUGGGAAAGCAGGGCAUUCGUGUAAGCAGAGGUGAUAAAUCAGGUGAAUAAAAGAAUUAAAAAAAAAACAUGUGGAAAAGCACAAGUGUACUCUGAUGAGAAACAAGUUCUAUGGAAGAAUUCAUGGCAGCGUUGAGAGAGGGAUGCUUCAAGCAGCACGCAGGUAAUAGAUCCCAAAAGCUCCCUGGGCGCAUUGCAGACACGUCGAGCUGCAGCAGAGCCUCACUGCAACCCCAAGUGUAGGGCCCCAGGACCAGGAGAAUUAAACAUGUUGAGUGUGAACAGGGCAGAAGUCUCUUGAUCAAAGCUGCCAAACAGAUCAAGAGCGAGUUUAAGCCCAGCUAUCUGGAGUCCUCCCUGGAGGUGCCUUCUUGGACCAUGCUUUCCACAGGAGCAACCCCACAGAGAGAGAACAAGCAAUGAUAUAUAUUUAUUUGGAGAGCCCGAACCCUUUCUCACACAGGCACAGCUGCCCUGGCGUCAGGCUGAACAACGUAUCUGCUUACCAGGAAAAAAGCCAGGAAAUGAGACUCAAGAGCGACCCAGCUCCUUUCUCAAAUGAUUUCCUAUCUUGACGGCGUACUGUCUACCACGUUGGCUCUGCAGAAAUUAGCCCAGGCUGUGCACAUUCCUGGGAGUGGAUACCACCAGACAAUGUAACACUAAUUAGGUAGUACCAAGGCAACUGUUUACAAGUCUCUUCCAAAUGCCUCCCUUGCGUUUGCACCCUCCUACUGCAAAGGCAAUAUUUAGUAGAAGUGUCCUAGGUAUAAUUCCCCGGUGGCUUAUUUAAAUGUCAGUCAGCCCAGCAGAAGUACACUGUGAAAAGCAAUGACAACAAAAGGGAAUGAGCUUCUGCCUUUCUUGGGAAGCAGCACUUUUGAUGGGAGACAGUUUUGGUGGAAUUGUGAUCAUACAAAGGCAUCGCCUCACUCCCACUGGAAGGCAGCCGCAUGAGAUACCCGGCUGUAACCGGUGGAAGAAAAAGACCUGGUGCUUUUUAGCUGGAAGGGGAAUUUUCAUAGGCAUGGUGAAAUUAAUCAUCGUGAAUUCAGGUGCUUUACCAGCAUGGGCAAAACCUUCCCCGUCAAAACAGCGGGCAGAACUUUGUCCAGAAGUUACUUUGGUUUUCCGUGGUCACCGGAAAACGAACGGCAUGAAAAGGUCACUGAUAUUUCUCAGCCGAUACGCUCAGUCUGAGUCAGCCGCUGGAAAAUGCACUACAGGAUAUUGACUUAAAGUGCUCUUGUAAAGCUAAUCAGAAGUUUCCUGGAAUGAUUUACAAAUCUGAAUUACACAAAGGAGUACAAUGAGGGGAAGUGGGAAAAGUCAGGUUACACAAAGCACCGCGGAGCAUUUGUGAAAGUAAUUUUCUAGCAGUCAUGAGUUAAGGAUUCAGGUCUGUGUGUUUCUGGAAUUCUGUACUCUGAUAAGUACAUAUUUGACAUUAUAUCCAGCAUUUCAGCUACUGGAACAAGUCCUUUCCGUUUCUUUAAAUAUCUAUAUGCAUAUAAAAGCAUUAUUAAAUUACACUUUCUACUA